AAGGGGGAAGCUACUUCUGAGAGUUCGAAGAAUACUGCUUCCCUCAUUGCACAAAUAUUAGAACCAAGACUGUGGGAGUCAGGAUCCCACCAUUCCUAAACCUCAACAAUAAGAUGGACACCUGCUCGUGUUGAACAAGAGAGAAUGAUCUGAAGGUACAAAAAUAAGUUGGGGGACUUUCCAAAGCAUCAAGGCAUCCCGCCCAAGCUGGAUUUGGACAUGGAAUUUGAGUAAAACAGGAUGGAGACGUCUUUGUCAGCUUUCUUGUGCAAGUUGUUGUGCAACUCAUGUUACAGACGAAAAACAGAGGCAAACAGGG